UACGGAGGGUGCAAGCGUUAUCCGGAAUGAUUGGGCGUAAAGCGUCCGCAGGUGGCUGUGUAAGUCUGCUGUUAAAGAGUGAGGCUCAACCUCAUAAAAGCAGUGGAAACUACACAGCUAGAGUGCGUUCGGGGCAGAGGGAAUUCCUGGUGUAGCGGUGAAAUGCGUAGAGAUCAGGAAGAACACCGGUGGCGAAGGCGCUCUGCUAGGCCGCAACUGACACUGAGGGACGAAAGCUAGGGGAGCGAAUGGG
rnacentral:rRNA from 1 species